UAUCGGAUUUUGGUUCACGGCUGGGCGGUCCGCUUCACGGCGUGCUACUGUCCGGUCUGGGCCUUUCCUCCUGGUGAACUGACGUAGUUCGCUACGUUUGGGAACCAGACUUUUACUUUGAAGAAAUUAGAGUGUUCAAAGCAGGCUUGACGCCCGAAUAAAUUACAUGGAAUAAUAAAAUAGACGUGCGGUUCUAUUUUGUUGGUUUUUGGAAUCGCCGUAAUGAUUAAUAGGGACGGUCGGGGGCAUUAGUACUCACAUGCUAAGGUGAAAUUCUUGGAUUUUGUGAAGACUAACUUCUGCGAAAGCAUUUGCCAAGGACGUUUUCAUUAAUCAAGAACGAAGGUUAGGUAUCGAAAACGAUUAGAUACCGUUGUAGUCUUAACAGUAAACUAUGCCGACUA
rnacentral:rRNA from 1 species